ACAUGAAGCUGGAAUCGCUAGUAAUCGCGGAUCAGAAUGCCGCGGUGAAUACGUUCCCGGGUCUUGUACACACCGCCCGUCACACCAUGGGAGUCGAUAACGCCCGAAGUCAGUGACCCAACCUGUAAGGAGGGAGCUGCCGAAGGCGGGAUUGAUAACUGGGGUGAAGUCGUAACAAGGUAGC
rnacentral:rRNA from 1 species